UUCUGAUGUGUGCAGACAUGUCUGAGGGACUGAGGGGGCCCUGACAGAUGGAGGGAUUGAGCACCAGGUCACCCAAGGAUCCACAGACCCAAGAAACUACCAUGAAAUAUCCACACAUAUUAUACUAUAACAAGGAUGGCAUCAAGGGGACAGGAAGUACCUCUGCCCUGGUGACUUUGGAAAGACUCUACUCCAGCAGCAGCAUUCAAACUUGGUCUCGAAGGAGAAGUGGGAACCUUUAUAGAAAAAAAAAAAAAUGAUGAAUAUGUGAGUAGCUUUCAAAGGCCAGACUGGAACAGAUGCUUGUGAUUUACGUUUUCAUUGGUCUGCGAGGAAAUGAGAAAAAUCAGGGCGAGGCAGUAAGUUUUCAAAAGUCAAGUUUAUCCAAUUUAAAGGAAGUUUAGUUUGGGAUGAUGUACUAUCUACUUUUGGAGUGUUGCUCUUUGGGAUGAUGUACUAUCUACUUUUGGAGUCUUGCUGUUUUUCUUUCUCUAAUGAAAUAAAUGUGGAAAUACAUGGUCAUAUUA